GCUUGCUCUCGGGUGACGAGCGGCGGACGGGUGAGUAAUGUCUGGGAAACUGCCUGAUGGAGGGGGAUAACUACUGGAAACGGUAGCUAAUACCGCAUAACGUCGCAAGACCAAAGUGGGGGACCUUCGGGCCUCAUGCCAUCAGAUGUGCCCAGAUGGGAUUAGCUAGUAAGUGGGGUAAUGGCUCACCUAAGCCAACAUUCCUAACUGGUCUGAAAAGAAGAACCGCCCCCCUGGAACUUAAAAACGGGUCAGAACUCCUACGGGAGGCAGCAGUGGGAAAUAUUGCACAAUGGGCGCAAGCCUGAUGCAGCCAUGCCGCGUGUAUGAAGAAGGCCUUCGGGUUGUAAAGUACUUUCAGCGAGGAGGAAGGCAUUAAGGUUAAUAACCUUAGUGAUUGACGUUACUCGCAGAAGAAGCACCGGCUAACUCCGUGCCAGCAGCCGCGGUAAUACGGAGGGUGCAAGCGUUAAUCGGAAUUACUGGGCGUAAAGCGCACGCAGGCGGUCUGUUAAGUCAGAUGUGAAAUCCCCGGGCUCAACCUGGGAACUGCAUUUGAAACUGGCGGCUUGAUCU
rnacentral:rRNA from 1 species